CAGGGUGUUAUGAUAUUCGUCGUGAAGUGCGUUAUGGAAAAAAAGAUUUGCAAAGAGUUCCUUGUAUGUUGGAGGCGCAGGACAUGGGGCGUUCCAGGAUUUUCAUCCUCUGUUCCGAACAAAGUGUCUGAGUCAAAGGACAAAACAGGAAAAACGACUGAGGCAUAUUUAUAACCCCUCCAUCAAGUCCUUUCUCUCGUUCUGCAGUUCAAUGAGAAUUAUAUGAAUAAUCCUCUUCUUCAGUCGGAACAAUGUCUAUUACAAUAUAUCAAUCAAUUAUCAAACUGUACAUUAAGAACAAUGUUCGUCUACCCUAUCAAACAGUAUCGAUGGAUGCAUAUCUGCGAAGGCAGCGGCCGUAAAGUAUCACACGUGAAACCCAUUAAAUGUCUCAUAUUGCUUUGAACCAUUAACAGAACAGAACAGAAUUUGUUUUCGACUUAAGCAUAAAAAGCUCAUCGUCACAACAAUAUGCAUAGAAACAAAAGACAUCAACAAUCAAGUCUUGGUAACAGUUACCUUCUUCAAGAGUGCCAAUAUUGAAAUCCAAAAUCGAUUGUCACUUCGAAAUAACUUCGAUUCCAUCACAAUACUUCUUAAGUGAACGGUUAUCGAAUAUUCAUCAUGCAGGGUGUAGAUCUCUUCGUUGCCAUUUGAAAGAACAUCUUAACUCCAAUAUCAUUAUUGAUGAUCCAUUUUGUAUGUUUGGUGAAGUCCGGACAACUGCACACUUUCUACUGAAAUUCCCUAUCUGUGAGGAACAAAAAUAUGGUCGACAUGUUCCAAUCGUCACCCCGCCUCUUGUAGGGUGACUUAAUACUUGACGAAGACUCAAACAUUGAAAUAUGAAAAGAAUUCAUCGUUUCAUCAAAACAUAUCAUUGUUUCAGCUCCGAAAUUAUCUAAUUAACCAUGUGUUAAAAUUUACAUUAAGGCUUAUCUUGACCCAUAUACCUGAGCAACCAUCCUUUUCUACUCCAUUUGUGUAUCAUCAUUUGUCUUAGUCUAUCAUCACCGAUCAUCCAUUCAUUUUCCUUUAAAUCAAACAUCGUCAAAAUGUACCUCAAUAUAUCGA